AAUUGCUGAAUUUGGCCAUUUCAGACUCAAAAUUCGCUUAUUAGCAACCAUUGCUUCAGUUAACAAUAUACAGCUAUUUCAUUUGUUAAUUCUAUUUAAUAUUUUCCUUAAACCAGAAACUGAAGCAAGGGUUGCUAAUAAAUGAAUUUUGGAAAAAAUGGUAUUAUUUGUCUGGCCUUUCUCACGUAUAAGAGUGGCCUCCCUUGAAGCCAGGUGCUCGUUGCCAGGCAAUAUUAUAGGUGGCGCCGCUGUCAACAUGUGCAUGUGAAAACGAAAGUAGAUUGUUUAUCUAGGAAUUAUUACAACAUUUUACCCUUUUACGUUGAAUUUUUAAGAUAUGAAUAUUGAGGCUAUUAUUUACUUGCCUUCAACUGGUCAGUGGUCAAAAGGGAGUAUUUCUGUAUGUCUUGAAGCAUUGAAUGCCCCAAAACAACAAGUAUGAUAAGAAGACCAGAGUAUACAGCUUCCCAAAAUGUUGAAAGAUUAAGCUGUUUUUCUAUGGACUUGUAUACUAUCUAGGCUGAAAACAGCCAUGGACAAUGAAUUUGGAGGUGCAUGCUGGAGCAUCAGAAAGUACAUACUUGGAAUAAAUAAUUGCACAAUACACAUUUACUGAGAAAUGGCUAAUGCUUAUGUUAAAGUCCAAUAUUCAUGUUUGUAACAUUUACUUGGCGGUAAUAGUUACAGUGUUGAAAGAGACUACCCGUGUUACAUUUCAAUUUAAGUUACAGUGUGGAUGCUAAUUCUAAAUUCUUGAUAAUCAAGUGUUUUUAAUAACUUAUGAAAAUAUUUAUCAAACUGUGUAAUUUAUCACAUUCCUACAUCAUUAUUUUAUAUAAAAUGCUUGUAGUUAUAUAAUAUAUGUCAGGUUAAAUGGUAAUAAAUUUUGUUUCUGUGUAAAUAUCUUGCUUUUUGAAAAAUGAAAAUGAUACAUUCAGUGGCCAUCAUCUGUCAAAAAGUUAUUAUAAAUGCAACAGAACUUAUGAAAAGUUAUGCAGUUACUUUUCACAAGUUCAUGGAAUAGCAGAAUAUACAUAACAUUGUAUAGUUUUCCUAACUUGUAUCUGGGGCCAUCAUAAAUUAAUUGCUAGAUUAAAUUUUCUUCACAAGGGGAAGGAAGUUUUUUUUAUUUAUUUUUUUAUUUCAGAUCAGAUAUUUUAUUUUGCUUUAAUGAGGAUUUAAAAUGACAUAAUUAUAAUAGUUAUUUUUGUCAAAUGGAUUUGAUUAUAAGCAAUAAUAACUGAAAGUUAAUAAUUUAUAACAUUCUUUAUAGAAAUAUUCCAUAGAUGAUCUUGGAAACUAAAAAUAGUAAGGGGAGGCAUAAAUAUAGUGGGUUGGGAGUGGAUAAUAAUUAAUAUAGUAUGGUCUUACAAAUAUAAAUCAAUAAAUACUUACCGGCAAUAAUAUUGAUAAGGUAUGAUGCAGCUAUAUGAUAAAUAUAUAUUUUUUAGAAUUGUGAUUUGUUAUGAGAAAAAAGGCUGAUAUAUACAGUCUAGAGUCUUCUAGUAAGCUGCAUAAUUAUGACUGGAACUAGCUCCAUAUUUCCUUUCUUUAACUUCAUAUAAGAUAGUCAAGUAUCACAAUUAUAUGAAUUCUAAUAUCAUUUGUGUAUUUAACUGAAAAUACAUUGCAUUCGUUUUCUAAAGUAAUAGUUAGCAUUUGGUCAUAUCUCAUUUUUGGCCUUCAAUAACUGGAAAGGGAAGGCAAUAAAUGGAAUUUAUGAUUAUACACAAAAUAUAGAGAAGACUGAAAGCAGUAACUGAUCAAUAAUAGCAGAAUGCUUUAGCUUAUGACUGUCAAAAUUCAUUGUAGUUUAGUAGAUGAUCUCUUUCUUUAAGGGGUUGGUAGGUGAAAUGUCAAUAUCACAGUGACCCUAAGACUGAAAUAUUUUAUUAUGGAAAGCUGAAUGGUAAUUUUGCCCAUGGUCAUCAGGCUUUAAAUCAUAACAGAUGAAUAAUUUGGGGUCAGUAGAUCAAAGUUAAAGGUCACUGACAAUUAGAUAAAGAGUGAUUCAGGUUAUAUAAGCUUGAGAACACUUUCACUUAUUAUGAUCAUCCAUCAUUUUAGCAUGAAUGCCUAUGUUCAGUAGAUGACCACUAUAGUGUUUGGCAAAUAGGUCAAAGUUCAAAUUCAAACCAUACUGAAAAUAAAUGCAAGUUACAUGCACAGUCACCACUGACAGGCCAUAAUGGGAGACAUAUAAUUUUGUCCUUUUUGUGCCCCCCAUGAGUGGUGGGGGCAUAUAGAUUUGCUCUUGUCCGUCCGUCCUUCCGAGAAUGUUGUGUCGCACCUAGCUCCAAAAGUAUUUGAGGUACAGUUACAAAACUUUACAGGAAUGUUGGUCAGCAUGUGUAGUUUUGCACCUGGGGUUUUGCGUCCUGAUUCAUUCAGUCGUGUAAGAGUUAUGGCCCCUGACUUUGUAAAAAAUGGUCAUUUUAAUGUUGUGUCGCACCUAGCUCCAAAUGUAUUUGACGUACAGUCACAAAACUUUACAGGAAUGUUGGUCAGCAUGUGUAAUUAUGCAUCUGGGGUUUCGUGUCUGCCGUCCGGAUUCAUUCAGUUGUGUAGGUGUUAUGGCAAAGACUUAGUAAAAAUUUGGUCAUUUUAAUGUUGUGUCGCGCGUAGCUCCAAAAGUAUUUGACCUAGAGUCACCAAAGUUUACAGGAAAAAAGAUUAAUGGCGACAUAUAUCAAUCUGUUCCGUAACGUCUGCAGUUCAUUCUAAGCCAUGCCGCCAGGGUGAAUACUGCGACUGGACCGAGUUAUGACGUCAUCAAAAUGGCGGCCAUUUUUGAAAAAAAAUAUAUAUAUAUCACCAUCUUCAAAUGAUUGAUUGUUGUUUGCUUUUGUUGCUGAAAGUGAAUUUUGUUGUAGUUUACAUUGUAUACAUACAUAAUCAUUAGCACUAUCUUAUUUUAAAUAAAAAAGCGUCAUUUAUACAAUAUUAAAGAUAUCUUGUGCCCAAAUUUCAUAUCUGAAUAUAUGAACAAUUA